AUUGAACGCUGGCGGCAUGCUUUACACAUGCAAGUCGAACGGUAACAGGCCUUCGGGUGCUGACGAGUGGCGAACGGGUGAGUAAUGCAUCGGAACGUGCCCAAUCGUGGGGGAUAACGUAGCGAAAGUUACGCUAAAUACCGCAUAAGCCCUGAGGGGGAAAGCAGGGGAUCGCAAGACCUUGCGCGAAUGGAGCGGCCGAUGUCAGAUUAGCUAGUUGGUGGGGUAAAGGCCUACCAAGGCGACGAUCUGUAGCGGGUCUGAGAGGAUGAUCCGCCACACUGGGACUGAGACACGGCCCAGACUCCUACGGGAGGCAGCAGUGGGGAAUUUUGGACAAUGGGCGCAAGCCUGAUCCAGCCAUGCCGCGUGCGGGACGAAGGCCUUC
rnacentral:rRNA from 1 species